GAUUAACGCUGGCGGCAUGCCUAAUACAUGCAAGUCGAACGAGGUCACUUGUGACCUAGUGGCGAACGGGUGAGUAACACGUAGGGAACCUGCCUCAAAGUCGAGGAUAACUAUUGGAAACGAUAGCUAAGACUGGAUAGUAUACCAGAAGGCAUCUUUUGGUAUUUAAAGGUCCGUUUGGAACGCUUUGAGAUGGCCCUGCGGCGCAUUAGCUAGUUGGUAAGGUAAUGGCUUACCAAGGCGACGAUGCGUAGCCGAACUGAGAGGUUGAUCGGCCACAUUGGGACUGAGACACGGCCCAAACUCCUACGGGAGACAGCAGUUAGGAAUAUUCGUCAAUGGGGGAAACCCUGAACGAGCAAUGCCGCGUGAACGAUGACGGUCCUUUGGAUUGUAAAGUUCUGUUGUUGAGGAAGAAAUGUUAGUAUAGGAAAUGAUAUAACUUGACGGUACUCUUCAAGAAAGCUCCGGCUAACUACGUG
rnacentral:rRNA from 1 species